CCCUUAGAUGUUCUGGGCCGCACACGCGCUACACUGAAGGAGGCAGCGUGUACUCCUGGAUCGAAAGAUUUGGGUAACCCGCGAAUCUCCUUCGUGCUAGGGAUUGAGGUUUGCAAUUAUCCUUCAUGAACGAGGAAUUCCCAGUAAGUGCAAGUCAUAAGCUUGCGCUGACUACGUCCCUGCCCUUUGUACACACCGCCCGACGCUACUACCGAUUGAAUGAUUUAGUGAGGACUUCGGACUGGGACCGAUGCGGCUUUCGGGCUGCGUCGGUAUUCUGGAAAGAUGUCCAAACUGUAUCAUUUAGAGGAAGUAAAAGUCGUAACA
rnacentral:rRNA from 1 species